rnacentral:misc_RNA from 1 species
GAUGAAGAACGCAGCGAAAUGCGAUAAGUAGUGUGAAUUGCAGAAUUCAGUGAAUCAUCGAAUCUUUGAACGCAUAUUGCGCUCUCUGGUAUUCCGGAGAGCAUGCUUGUUUGAGUAUCAGUAAACACCUCAACUCCCCUUUCUUUUUUUGAAAUGGGAGCUGGACUUGAGUGAUCCCAACGCUUUUCUCACCGAAAAGUGGCGGGUUACUUGAAAUGCAGGUGCAGCUGGACUUUUCUCUGAGCUAAAAGCAUAUCUAUUUAGUCUGCCUAAAAAACAGAUUAUUACCUUUGCUGCAGCUAACAUAAAGGAGAUUAGUUCUUGUGCUGACUGAUGCAGGAUUCACAGAGACAGCUUCGGCUGGCCUUUGUAAACUCGAUCUCAAAUCAAGUAAGACUACCCGCUGAACUUAAGCAUAUCAAUAAGCGGAGGA